UGACAUACACCGGAAAGCAUCAGAGAUGGUGCCCCCCUUGUGGUCGGUGUACAGGUGGUGCAUGGCUGUCGUCAGCUCGUGUCGUGAGAUGUUGGGUUAAGUCCCGCAACGAGCGCAACCCUUGUUCUGUGUUGCCAGCAUGCCCUUCGGGGUGAUGGGGACUCACAGGAGACCGCCGGGGUCAACUCGGAGGAAGGUGGGGACGACGUCAAGUCAUCAUGCCCCUUAUGUCUUGGGCUGCACACGUGCUACAAUGGCAGGUACAAUGAGCUGCGAUACCGUGAGGUGGAGCGAAUCUCAAAAAGCCUGUCUCAGUUCGGAUUGGGGUCUGCAACUCGACCCCAUGAAGUCGGAGUUGCUAGUAAUCGCAGAUCAGCAUUGCUGCGGUGAAUACGUUCCC
rnacentral:rRNA from 1 species